GUACCCUCUAACUGGCUUCUGUAUUUGCCCAGGUGUAUGUGAGUCAGUUUUGUUUUUUUAAUGGAAUUUUUAUUUUCAGUGCCAUCACCCAUCUUGUGAGCUGUUGAGGGAGAACAACCACAGGCUGCAGAGGGAAAAUUAUUCUCUCAAGGCAAAAAUAGCAACAUUGAAAUGUAAUGCUAUUGUUGAAAACUUUGUUUUUUUUUACUCUGUUUUACAUGUUAGCUAAAAGGCUAUUAUGAAUCCUUUGCUCAGUGCUGCCAGACGUUUUUCAGAAGAUGGAGGAGUUUCUCCGCUCAGCACCAAGACCAACGACAACACCAAUACCAACACCAACACCAAGACCAAGACCAAGACCAGAACCAACACUAUCACCAGCACCAACAGCAGUUCCAGCACAAGCAACAGAAGACCCAUCACCAGCUCCAGGUCCAUCAUCAGCAUCAGCAACAGAGGCCCUGGGCCACUCUGUCAUUCCAAAAGGACUUGUGGAGCGCUGCUCCUUCCAAAGCCCCCAGAAGUUCAUGAAUGAUCUCCUACAUGGGAUGUAUGCCAGGGAAUAUAUGGCAGGCCAUUCACUGACUGGCCAGUCAUCCAGCAGCUGCACAGAAGGAAAACCUGGCCUAGCCAAACAGGACCUUGUUGAAAUAACAAAUGCUGCAAAGUUGAAGUUCACCUACUUAACUGAUACAAACAUAAAAGCUUUUAUACGACCAAAGCUGAACAAUGCUGCCAAAUUUCAG